AAUGAUUUUAAACUCGGCACCAUAGACCUUCAGAAGACUUAGUCUUCUCCCACCAAAAACAGGGAGAUGUUGUAUGGUAGACAAUUAUCCAUCAGACUCCAAUGACGGGGAUAAAAAUAGAUAUACGAAGAUGUGGUAUGAGUGGCAAUGAGACAACCUUCCUUUCUUCCCCUUGUCUCCAAGCUCCCAAGUUUCACCUCAGUACAGAUCCUUCUUUUUAUAUAAAUUAAGAAAAUAUAAGUAGAUCUUAACAAAAUGAGAUAUGUGGUAUCUUUAAACUAGAAGCUCUCAACAAGAGCCUGUGUCGCUCUCCUGCAUUUACCAAUGCUUUGUAAAUCAUGUGAAAUUAGGUUAAACCAUAAUUAAUAGUAUUAGAUAUAAGUUAUUAUCAGAUACUAUAAUCAUAUCUAAGAUAAUAACCAAUAAACAUCUGCACCAUGAGCGCAUGAUACGCCCGACGUCUUGUGUGGAAGUUUUAUGCAAUAAUCAUCAAUAGUUU
rnacentral:lncRNA from 1 species